rnacentral:rRNA from 1 species
GACGAACGCUGGCGGCGUGCUUAACACAUGCAAGUCGAACGGAAAGGCCCCUUUGGGGGUCCUCGAGUGGCGAACGGGUGCGUAACACGUGCGUAACCUGCCCUUGACUUCGGGAUAACUUCAGGAAACUGGGGCUAAUACCGGAUAGGAAUCCUUGCUGCAUGGUGGGGGUUGGAAAGCUUCGGCGGUUUUGGAUGGACUCGCGGCGUAUCAGCUUGUUGGUGGGGUAGUGGCUUACCAAGGCUUUGACGGGUAGCCGGCCUGAGAGGGCGACCGGCCACAUUGGGACUGAGAGACGGCCCAGACUCCUACGGGAGGCAGCAGGGGGGAAUAUUGCACAAGGGGCGGAAGCCUGAUGCAGCAACGCCGCGUGCGGGAUGACGGCCUUAGGGUUGAAAACCGAUUUCAGCAGGGGCGAAGCUUGUGGUGACGGUACCUGCAGAAGAAGCACCGGCUAACUACGUG